rnacentral:misc_RNA from 1 species
GUGAAUCAUCGAAUUUUUGAACGCAAAUUGCACUCUCUUCGGAGAGUAUGCCUGUUUGAGGGUCAGCCUAAAAAAAUCGACAUAGUUGCUGUUUUGUGGUGACCUUUGGUGGAAAUUGGGGCAUUUUAAACCUUUUGGGUUUUAGGGGGUUAAAAUUUUUUUUACGAAUUCACGGACGUUUUUUAGAUUUAAUUUUUUAGUUUAAGGUAUCGAUUUUUUUUUGAUGGUUCCGGUGUAUCGGGUUUAGUCCAUAAAUU